rnacentral:rRNA from 1 species
GAUGAACGCUGGCGGCGUGCCUAAUACAUGCAAGUCGAGCGAACAGACGAGGAGCUUGCUCCUCUGACGUUAGCGGCGGACGGGUGAGUAACACGUGGAUAACCUACCUAUAAGACUGGGAUAACUUCGGGAAACCGGAGCUAAUACCGGAUAAUAUAUUGAACCGCAUGGUUCAAUAGUGAAAGACGGUUUUGCUGUCACUUAUAGAUGGAUCCGCGCCGCAUUAGCUAGUUGGUAAGGUAACGGCUUACCAAGGCGACGAUGCGUAGCCGACCUGAGAGGAUGAUCGGUCACACUGGAACUGAGACACGGUCCAGACUCCUACGGGAGGCAGCAGUAGGGAAUCUUCCGCAAUGGGCGAAAGCCUGACGGAGCAACGCCGCGUGAGUGAUGAAGGUCUUCGGAUCGUAAAACUCUGUUAUUAGGGAAGAACAAAUGUGUAAGUAACUAUGCACGUCUUGACGGUACCUAAUCAGAAAGCCACGGCUAACUACGUG